GCCAGUGCGGCAUAGUGGUUUCAGCAUUGGGCUGCAACUCUGGAGACCAGGGUUCGAUUCCCAGCUCAGCCA